rnacentral:rRNA from 1 species
ACCAACAGGGAUUGCCCUAGUAACGGCGAGUGAAGCGGCAACAGCUCAAAUUUGAAAUCUGGCUCUUUCAGAGUCCGAGUUGUAAUUUGCAGAGGGCGCUUUGGCUUUGGCAGCGGUCCAAGUUCCUUGGAACAGGACGUCACAGAGGGUGAGAAUCCCGUACGUGGUCGCUAGCUAUUGCCGUGUAAAGCCCCUUCGACGAGUCGAGUUGUUUGGGAAUGCAGCUCUAAAUGGGAGGUAAAUUUCUUCUAAAGCUAAAUAUUGGCCAGAGACCGAUAGCGCACAAGUAGAGUGAUCGAAAGAUGAAAAGCACUUUGGAAAGAGAGUCAAACAGCACGUGAAAUUGUUGAAAGGGAAGCGCUUGCAGCCAGACUUGCUUGCAGUUGCUCAUCCGGGCUUUUGCCCGGUGCACUCUUCUGCAGGCAGGCCAGCAUCAGUUUGGGCGGUGGGAUAAAGGUCUCUGUCACGUACCUUCCUUCGGGUUGGCCUUAUAGGGGAGACGCCAUACCACCAGCCUGGACUGAGGUCCGCGCAUCUGCUAGGAUGCUGGCGUAAUGGCU